CUGCAUUUUCCUAUUGGUACACAAUUACUGAGAAAAAUGUGGCAGAUCAGUGAGUAACCACGAUUUCUGGUUUUUUUAAUAACUGCAGCAUGAAGAUUUGAAAAUUGCAACAGGGUUAAGAACAGGUGGAAUUGUAUUUUCUAUUCAACUGCAUUUUCCUAUUAAUACACAAUUACUGAGAAAAAUGUGGCAGAUCAGUAAGUAACCAUGAUUUCUGGCUUUUUUAAUAACUGGAGCAUGAAGAUUUGAAAAUUGCAACAGGGUUAAGAAAGGGCAGCAAGUAUAAUAAAUAUUAGUAAGCAGCGUAGAAUCUUGAUAAAACUUGGUAUAAUACGUUAUAUUAGCAGUAAAAAAUCAUGACACGACAAGAAAUCAAUCUUUGCGGAACAUUAUUUGCAGAUAUCAAAGUAACCAGACCUGCAAUUCCUUUCAAUCUCUAAGAACACGAAGAACGUAGGUGAUUGUGCUAAUAACUCGUUCGACAAUUUCGUUCGAAUAAACAGUUUCUGCAAGACAUAAAUAAAAAGGUACGAGUAUUAUAUUCCUCAACUAUGGUGAGAUAGCCGAGUGAUAAUAAAUGGGUUUGAAAGUAGCUGCCUAAUUACUUCCUCGGACACCGCACGAACUCGCGAUGCAACCGUUGAUAUCGCUACGUACUUUUUCCUUUUUCCUGAGCCCCGCGCCGGCUACCGGUUUUACAGCGACCGUUGAAUUUAACUGUCUAUUAAUUAAUGCGGGCCGAUUAAUUUCCGUCACGGCAUAAAAACGCAGUUCCAUGGAAAAUUAUGAUGGCGCAAGGUCUCGCCUCCGCGCCAUUUCCCUACGAUUCGUAUGUCAUCGAACCAUCGUUCUACAGAUCCAUGUGAAAAAUACCGACAUGUUGCGGGUAUUUCGUUUGGGGAAACUAGAAAAGGGGAGUAAAAUAAAAUUGUUUACAAGCUGAAAAAUAAGCCUCCAAGGACGUGUUUGCACAUGAACAUUGUCAUCGUUUUGAUGUCUACAAUUUACCCUGUACAUAAAUGUCCAUCAAAUAUUUUGCCAAAUCCUGUACAAGUACAGAGUUAGGAGGAAUUAAAUUAAACCACGUAACAAUUGCAUUAAAUGAAAUUCAACGUUGGGAUUAAUACUGAAAUGAAAAUGAGUUGGAAAUAAAAACUUGGCAGAGACUUAAUAGAAACGAAUAAUCAAAAUUUAGUAUAAAGUCCCGUAUUAUUUUUUGCUGUGUCUAUGAAAUAACGUAAAUACGACGCCGCCAUAACGUUAUGCUCUAAUGUAACACAUGCUACCAUAAUAAACUUCAUUACACUGAUGUCUUUCAAAUGACCACGGUACAGCGUGAACAUGGAGGAGCAAAGGAACAUAAGCGCGCAACGCGAGCAUGACGUCGACAUAAACGCCAGAGAGGGCAAACAAAAUUUUCAAAAAUUAUAUUCUCAUGAUCCCCUACUGACCUGAACAAUUGUAAUUUCCUAGUAUAUUCGUGUCCUUUCGCCAAGUAGGAAAGCUCGUUUGAAGCGAAAACCACGGAAAGUUGCCGGCAUGCACCAGGCAACAUGAGGUUCAAUGUAUCAUUAGGUAGUCAUUGCGAUCACCGUGGGUCCCGUUGGUACACGCACGAUCCGACGGACACGUAGGUAAGCCAUCCUGGCUUCAUUCACGUCAGAUGCGAGGCGACCACGUCAUUUAUCUGCCAACCAUUCCGGCUAACGAUGCAUUGCCGGUUUGUUGGUCGAGCGUCCUGGUAUCCUCGUGUUCCCUGCACGAGCUUCGUCUGGAAUUUCCAUCUUUUUUUAUGAUGCCUCUCAAACAAUUCUUUUGCACUUAAGGAAAGUACAUGGAGGUUAAUUAUGAGCAAUUUCUAUGAAGACCAGGAUUCCUUGUAUUUAUGUUAAUUAACACGAAGCAUAAUACAUGAAACCAAAUUUGUUGGAUCUUUGAGUACAUGUACAUUAUCUGUUAGGGCACAUGUAUAUUGACAUUAGAUCUUGCGAUAUUAAAAGUAGACUUUUACAACGAGGAAUUAUUUGUUUACAAAUGCUGUUACAUGUUAUAUAUUUUUUUGCAGGCAAAUUUUACUGCCCGUUCACACCAAUGCGGAGCGUCCACGUUUCAGUAUCUUUCAGAAAGAUACGAAGAGGAGACUCUUAGCGUCUUAUCUCUGUCGUACGUGUUGAAGGAAAAACAGUGAAAUAGUUUUUGUUGAGACCCAUGGCACAGUUCGCUAAUUGCGCUAGAGGAUAUUUAAGGUGCGUGUAAAAUUUGGGAGUGGCACGUGGUGGCGCGCGCGGCCGUGCGAGAGGGUGGAAGCGCGGUCGUCUCUGCCGGCGACAGAGGAGCCCGGUCGCUUCCGGAACACGCGAAACUCUCAUUAACUUCGACCGGGCGCGAUAUUGUAUUGCGCUUUAAAGUCGUUCCACGCUCCUUGGAGCGGAGACGCCGGCUGCGAGCGGCGGCGGCAACGACUUAAAAAAAGUUCCAACCACGGAGACCGGAGUUUAAUGGGUGCCACCACAAACGACAACGUCGAUACUCUUCAAGGGAGGACGAUGAGCGAAUUUCAAACGCUUCUGCAUCGCAAAAUUACCCAUUGCAGUCGUACGAUAUUCCAUAGGAUACUUUGUUAACUGAUAAUAAAAUUCCCUGCUAUGCGUACGAUUGUUCCUGUGUAUCAAAUACGAUUCACCAAGAUCACGCGACGAAUAUUUGAUUGCUAAAUAUUCUUAUUUCUUAUAUUUUGUACCUUUUUUUCUUCUGUACACUAAGCGAUAAUGGGAAAUUUUCAAACGCUUCUAUGCU